rnacentral:sRNA from 1 species
UCGACCAAGGUUCGACUUGAGCGCCAGCGAGAGAGCGUUGCCGCAGGCAACGACCCGAAGGGCGAAGCGCGCAGCGCUGAGUAAUCCUUCCCCCACCACCA